rnacentral:rRNA from 1 species
GAUGAACGCUAGCGGCAGGCUUAAUACAUGCAAGUCGAGGGGCAGCACGGUUAGCAAUAACUGGUGGCGACCGGCGCACGGGUGCGUAACACGUAUACAAUCUACCUUAAACAGGGGGAUAGCCUUUCGAAAGAGAGAUUAAUACCCCGUAAUAAAUUGAACGGCAUCGUUUGAUUUUGAAAGCUCCGGCGGUUUGAGAUGAGUAUGCGUCUGAUUAGCUAGUUGGUGAGGUAACGGCUCACCAAGGCGACGAUCAGUAGGGGAUCUGAGAGGACUAACCCCCACACUGGUACUGAGACACGGACCAGACUCCUACGGGAGGCAGCAGUAAGGAAUAUUGGUCAAUGGAGGCAACUCUGAACCAGCCAUGCCGCGUGCAGGAUGACGGCCCUAUGGGUUGUAAACUGCUUUUAUACAAGAGAAAACCCUGGUAACGUGUACCAGGUUGAUAGUAUUGUAAGAAUAAGCAUCGGCUAACUCGUGCCAGCAGCCGC